UGUUCUUCCAUAGUGGAUGUUUUGGCCACUGGACAUCAGAACCACAUUUUGAGUUUGAACUUAAAAGCUAGUGUAGCUAGAGUUAAAUACAGGGCACAUUGUCUCUGGAGGCUGCAGCUUUAGUGGUGGGUACACAAUUCAGUUCCUGACCCAGGAAGUGGCACAUCAGGGCAGGCAGUGGUGUUGGUUGUGGUAUAAUUGAGUUCCUGGUUCAGAAGUGACAACUGUACACAUGAGUUGUCAGCUGAUUGGUUCCCAGGGCUCACUGGGCAAUGUUUGAGUUUCAACUCGCCAAUGUGAAGAAACCUUGCUGACUGUCCAGGACAAGGUUUAGAAAGCAGCCUCAAAAAGAGGAAGUUCAUCCGCUACUGCCGUAACUGCCAGACAAAACAAAUUUUACCAUUUUUAAAACAACACAAUACAGACAUUUAACAACAUUAAAUUUAGAAUGUUAAAAAUACUAGAUAUGCAAAUAAGUAGGGAAAUAGAACCCAAAAUCAGGAGAAAAAUCAUUUAAUAGAAACAAACCCAA
rnacentral:lncRNA from 1 species